CUCUCUUGGGGUUUUGAAGCCCAGCCCGACACUUUAGUGGUAACGGGGGAGCUUUUCUUUGCUCUCCUUGCCUCCAUCGGCGGCCAGAACACGCUUCUUCUUCUGGAAGAUGGUCGGCUGCUUCUGAUAAGCCCUCUCUGUCUGCACAAGGACAAAAGUACGCGUUCACAGCACGACCAAGAACAACGACAAAAGUGAUUUUAAGACGAGCUAAGGAGAACGUGAAGGUGGCUAAGCUAACCGCAUUAGCAAUCCGGCUGCUAGCGUAGCGUCACACGAGGGUAAGCGGAGUUCCAACAGAUUGCUCAUCUAAAAUAUCCACGACACUUC